rnacentral:ncRNA from 1 species
UACUUUAUUAUAAAAGACGCAUUCAUCAUGAAUCAAAGAUUAAGACAUUCAUGUCUAAGUACAUGCCGUAUUAAGGCAAAACGCGAAUGACUCAUUAAAUCAGUUAUGGUUCCUUGGAUCGCACCUUACUACUUGGACAACUGUGGCAAUUCUAGAGCUAACAACAUGCUGCAGAGCUCCGACCCUCUGGGGACGAGCGCUUUUAUUAGACCAAAACCAAUCGGACCUCGUGCUCGUAUUAUGUGGUGACUCUGUACAACUUUGAGCUGAUCGCACGGGCUCGUCCCGGCGACGUAUCAUUCAAGUGUCUGCCUUAUCAACUGUCGAUGGUAUGUCACGCGUCUAUCAUGAUCGUAACGGGUGACGGGGAAUCAGGUUUCGAUUCCGGAGAGGGAGCUUGAGAAACGGCUACUACAUCCAAGGAAGGCAGCAUAUGCGCGAAUUACGCACUCCCAGAACGGGGAGGUAGUGACGAAAAAUAACAAUACGGGUCUCUUUUGAGACUCCGUAACUGGAAUGAGUACACUCUAAAUCCUUUAACGGAGAUCAAUUGGAAGGCAAGUCAGGUGCCGGCAGCCGCGGUAACUCCAGCUCCAAAAGCGUAUAUUAAAAUUGUUGCUGUUAAAAAGCUCGUAUUUGGAUCUCAGCUCCUGACAGGUAGUCUGCCUACCGGUGGUUACUGCCUGUUCUGAACAGCUAGCCGGUUUCCUUUGAUGAUCUUCACCGGUUUUCUUGGGUGACCGGCAAGUUUACUUUGAAAAAAUUAGAGUGCUCAAACCAGGCCCGAUACCUGAAUAAUGGUGCAUGGAAUAAUGGAAGUCAAUUAAUCAAUAUUUGUACAAAGGGGUACUUUUUUGAUUAAGAAACAGGAUAAGGCGAGUUUUUUGACUUCGGACAAUUUUACAUUACAAUACUAGACCUGCAUAGAGCAUUA